rnacentral:lncRNA from 1 species
UUGGACUCAGUUGCUGGUUUUGGUUCCAUGUUAAUGGAGAUGUGGUCCUCUGAAUCUUGAUGCAGAGAGUUUGAAGAAACUGGAAAACAAAAAGUUGGGGCUUUUUUCUCUUUAUUCUUUUUCCUCUUUGCUAUUUUACGAGAGUUUGAAGAAAUUGGAAAAGAAAAGUUGGGGCUUCUUUUUCUUUAUUCUUUUUCCUCUUUGCUAUUUUACUUAAGAUUUUACGCUUCUCUAGAUUCGCUCCAUUUUGUUUUACUGUGUGCUGCUGACUGUUUGUCUCAAAAUAUG